rnacentral:rRNA from 1 species
CAUACCUCGGGCGCAGCAGUGGGGAAUAUUGCACAAUGGGGGAAACCCUGAUGCAGCGACGCCGCGUGAGUGAAGAAGUAUCUCGGUACGUAAAGCUCUAUCAGCAGGGAAGAAAAUGACGGUACCUGACUAAGAAGCCCCGGCUAACUACGUGCCAGCAGCCGCGGUAAUACGUAGGGGGCAAGCGUUAUCCGGAUUUACUGGGUGUAAAGGGAGCGUAGACGGCAGCACAAGUCUGGAGUGAAAUCCCGGGGCUUAACCCCGGAACUGCUUUGGAAACUGUGCAGCUAGAGUGCGGGAGAGGG